AUUGAACGCUGGCGGCAUGCUUUACACAUGCAAGUCGAACGGUAACAGGCCUUCGGGCGCUGACGAGUGGCGAACGGGUGAGUAAUGCAUCGGAACGUGCCCAGUCGUGGGGGAUAACGCAGCGAAAGCUGUGCUAAUACCGCAUACGAUCUGCGGAUGAAAGCGGGGGAACUUCGGGCCUCGCGCGAUUGGAUCGGCCGAUGUCAGAUUAGGUAGUUGGUGGGGUAAAGGCUCACCAAGCCAACGAUCGGUAGCUGGUCUGAGAGGACGACCAGCCACACUGGGACUGAGACACGGCCCAGACUCCUACGGGAGGCAGCAGUGGGGAAUUUUGGACAAUGGGCGCAAGCCUGAUCCAGCAAUGCCGCGUGCAGGAAGAAGGCCUUCGGGUUGUAAACUGCUUUUGUACGGAGCGAAAAGGCUCCCUCUAAUACAGGGGGCUCAUGACGGUACCGUAAGAAUAAGCACCGGCUAACUACGUGCCAGCAGCCGCGGUAAGAC
rnacentral:rRNA from 1 species